rnacentral:rRNA from 1 species
GACGGGCGGUAUUGGAUCAUUACGCCAACAUCCUAGACAAAGUCGCAGACCUCAGUCCCGGUAGGUAACAUCAACAGAAGCUAUAACACUCCGAGGAGCCACAUUCAACUGCGAUUAUCUUACCACCAAAACUGAUGUUGGCCCAGUAAGAAAUUAGAGCACCACCCACAAGGAGUAGCGAUAAUUAAAUACCAGUCUGAUCGAAUACCCUUCCCUUUCAACAAUUUCACGUACUUUUUCACUCUCUUUUCAAAGUUCUUUUCAUCUUUCCUUCACAGUACUUGUUCGCUAUCGGUCUCUCGCCAAUAUUUAGCUUUAGAUGGAAUUUACCACCCACUUUGAGCUGCAUUCCCAAACAACUCGACUCUUCGAAGACAUCUUAUAAAGAAAAGAAUUCCUUGUCGCACGGGAUUCUCACCCUCUGUGACGUCCUGUUCCAAGGAACAUAGACAAGGACCAAUUCCAAGAAUAUCUUCUUCAAAUUACAACUCGGGCUUACGCCAGAUUUCAAAUUUGAGCUCUUGCCGCUUCACUCGCCGCUACUAAGGCAAUCCCUGUUGGUUUCUUUUCCUCCGCU